rnacentral:rRNA from 1 species
GACGAACGCUGGCGGCGUGCUUAACACAUGCAAGUCGAACGGAAAGGCCCUGCUUUUGUGGGGUGCUCGAGUGGCGAACGGGUGAGUACCACGUGAGUAACCUGCCCUUGACUUUGGGAUAACUUCAGGAAACUGGGGCUAAUACCGGAUAGGAGCUCCUGCUGCAUGGUGGGGGUUGGAAAGUUUCGGCGGUUGGGGAUAGACUCGCGGCUUAUCAGCUUGUUGGUGGGGUAGUGGCUUACCAAGGCUUUGACGGGUAGCCGGCCUGCGAGGGUGACCGGCCACAUUGGGACUGAGAUGCGGCCCAGACUCCUACGGGAGGCAGCAGUGGGGAAGAGUGCACAAUGGACGGAGGCCUGAUGCAGCAACGCCGCGUGCGGGAUGACGGCCUUCGGGUUGUAAACCGCUUUCGCCUGUGACGAAGCGUGAGUGACGGUAAUGGGUAAAGAAGCACCGGCUAACUACGUG